rnacentral:lncRNA from 1 species
GGCUGACUGCUUUGUGCGUGGACUGCGGCCAGGCCUUUACAAGGCUGUGCUUGUACACAGGUUGCAGACUUUUGCUGAAGUCCUGGAUCGGGCCUUGUGGAUAGAACAAGGCGAGGCAUCUCUGCGGGAGGAGCACGAGGCAUAUUACAAGGAAAAGGAAAAGGACGGCCAGUGAGCGGACACGAUGGUCAGUCUAGUUCCCAACGGACUUCGACGAGUUCGCACUCGUGAUCCCGAGCUCCGGGGACAUACCGCAUUCGGUCCUCGGCGAAAUGUGCUAUUUGUGGAGGCCCUCAUUUCCCACAACAGUGUGAGCAGCGUGAAGGCAAGUGCUUCAAGUGUGGGCUGCCGUGCCAUAUGCGGGACGAGUG